UGGGGAAUAUUGCACAAUGGGCGCAAGCCUGAUGCAGCCAUGCCGCGUGUGUGAAGAAGGCCUUCGGGUUGUAAAGCACUUUCAGCGGGGAGGAAGGCGAUAAGGUUAAUAACCUCAUCGAUUGACGUUACCCGCAGAAGAAGCACCGGCUAACUCCGUGCCAGCAGCCGCGGUAAUACGGAGGGUGCAAGCGUUAAUCGGAAUUACUGGGCGUAAAGCGCACGCAGGCGGUUUGUUAAGUCAGAUGUGAAAUCCCCGGGCUCAACCUGGGAACUGCAUCUGAUACUGGCAAGCUUGAGUAUGGUAGAGGGGGGUAGAAUUCCAGGUGUAGCGGUGAAAUGCGUAGAGAUGUGGAGGAAUACCGGUGGCGAAGGCGGCCCCCUGGACAAAGACUGACGCUCAGGUGCGAAAGCGUGGGGAGCAAACAGG
rnacentral:rRNA from 1 species